UACGGAGGGGGCUAGCGUUCUUCGGAAUUACUGGGCGUAAAGGGCGCGUAGGCGGGUUGCUAAGUUAGAGGUGAAAGCCCAGGGCUCAACCCUGGAAUUGCCUUUAAUACUGGCAGCCUUGAGUAUGGCAGAGGUGUGUGGAACUCCGAGUGUAGAGGUGAAAUUCGUAGAUAUUCGGAAGAACACCAGUGGCGAAGGCGGCUCACUGGCCCGGUACUGACGCUGAGGUGCGAAAGCGUGGGGAGCAAACAGG
rnacentral:rRNA from 1 species